rnacentral:rRNA from 1 species
GACGUAGGGCGCAAGCGUUGUCCGGAAUUAUUGGGCGUAAAGAGCUCGUAGGCGGCUUGUCACGUCGGGUGUGAAAGCCCGGGGCUUAACCCUGGGUCUGCAUUCGAUACGGGCUAGCUAGAGUGUGGUAGGGGAGAUCGGAAUUCCUGGUGUAGCGGUGAAAUGCGCAGAUAUCAGGAGGAACACCGGUGGCGAAGGCGGCUCUCUGGAACGCAACUGACGCUGAGACGCGAAAGCGUGGGGAGCAAACAGG